ACCGUUCAUCUUAUUAUCUUCUCCUAUUUCUUAGAUUUAGGGUUUUUAAUGGAGAUUUAUAUACCUGGAAAUUCAGAAGAUGUAGGAGGUGGAUUCCAUCUCUGACAUGUAUCGAUCUAGGGUUUUUUUUCAUUCACUGCUCUACAAUAUUUGAUUGCUACCCAAAUCGAUUGGAGACAGUAAGGCUAUUGAGAUUCCGUAAUCAGGGUGGUUAGCGGCGGCCAGGAUCCAAAUCUCGAUUUAAAAAUAUCAUGUUCCCAUUGAAGACGCCAAUAAGGUGAGCCAUCUUUCUACUGUAUACACAAUUCUACACAUUCAAAGAUAA